AGGGUUCGAUUCUGGCUCAGGACGAACGCUGGCGGCGCGCCUAACACAUGCAAGUCGAACGGAGCUGAGAGGAGCUUGCUUUUCUUAGCUUAGUGGCGAACGGGUGAGUAACGCGUGAGUAACCUGCCCUGGAGUGGGGGACAACAGUUGGAAACGACUGCUAAUACCGCAUAAGCCCACGGCCCGGCAUCGGGCUGAGGGAAAAGGAUUUAUUCGCUUCAGGAUGGACUCGCGUCCAAUUAGCUAGUUGGUGAGGUAACGGCCCACCAAGGCGACGAUUGGUAGCCGGACUGAGAGGUUGAACGGCCACAUUGGGACUGAGACACGGCCCAG
rnacentral:rRNA from 1 species